UGAGCAACCUGCCCUUAGCUCUGGGAUAACCCCGGGAAACCGGGGCUAAUACCGGAUACGAGUCCGAGCGGCAUCACACGGACUGGAAAGUUUUUCGGCUAAGGAUGGGCUCGCGGCCUAUCAGCUUGUUGGUGGGGUAAUGGCCUACCAAGGCGACGACGGGUAGUCGGCCUGAGAGGGCGACCGGCCACACUGGGACUGAGACACGGCCCAGACUCCUACGGGAGGCA
rnacentral:rRNA from 1 species